AAGUCGUAACAAGGUUUCCGUAGGUGAACCUGCGGAAGGAUCAUUAAUGAAGUUUCAAAAGGGUGCUUUCGAGACCCGACUCAUUUAUUCUUCUACCCUGUGCAUAACACUUUUUUCAUCAUUUUAAACACUAUUAAAGUAAUGGAUGUAAUAACUUGUCGCAAGACAAUCAAAACAAAAAAUAA
rnacentral:misc_RNA from 1 species